rnacentral:rRNA from 1 species
GACGAACGCUGGCGGCGUGCUUAACACAUGCAAGUCGAACGCUGAAGCUCAGCUUUUGUUGGGUGGAUGAGUGGCGAACGGGUGAGUAACACGUGAGUAACCUGCCCCCUUCUUUGGGAUAACGCCCGGAAACGGGUGCUAAUACUGGAUAUUCACUGGUCUUCGCAUGGGGGUUGGUGGAAAGGGUUUUUCUGGUGGGGGAUGGGCUCGCAGCCUAUCAGCUUGUUGGUGGGGUGAUGGCCUACCAAGGCUUUGACGGGUAGCCGGCCUGAGAGGGUGACCGGUCACAUUGGGACUGAGAUACGGCCCAGACUCCUACGGGAGGCAGCAGUGGGGAAUAUUGCACAAUGGGCGCAAGCCUGAUGCAGCGACGCCGCGUGAGGGAUGGAGGCCUUCGGGUUGUGAACCUCUUUCGCUCAUGGUCAAGCCGCAACAAUGGUUGUGGUGAGGGUAGUGGGUAAAGAAGCGCCGGCUAACUACGUG